rnacentral:rRNA from 1 species
UCCCCUUCGGGGGACAGAGUGACAGGUGGUGCAUGGUUGUCGUCAGCUCGUGUCGUGAGAUGUUGGGUUAAGUCCCGCAACGAGCGCAACCCUUGAUCUUAGUUGCCAGCAUUCAGUUGGGCACUCGAAGGUGACUGCCGGUGACAAACCGGAGGAAGGUGGGGAUGACGUCAAAUCAUCAUGCCCCUUAUGACCUGGGCUACACACGUGCUACAAUGGAUGGUACAAAGGGCUGCAAACCUGCGAAGGUAAGCGAAUCCCAUAAAGCCAUUCUCAGUUCGGAUUGCAGGCUGCAACUCGCCUGCAUGAAGCCGGAAU